GAUGAACGCUGGCGGCGUGCCUAAUACAUGCAAGUCGAGCGAACGGACGCGAAGCUUGCUUCUCUGAUGUUAGCGGCGGACGGGUGAGUAACACGUGGAUAACCUACCUAUAAGACUGGGAUCACUUCGGGAAACCGUAGCUAAUACCGGAUAAUAUUUUGAACCGCAUGGUUCAAAAGUGAAAGACGGUCUUGCUGUCACUUAUAGCUGGAUCCGCGCUGCAUUAGCUAGUUGGUAAGGUAACGGCUUACCAAGGCAACGAUGCAUAGCCGACCUGAGAGGGUGGUCGGCCACACUGGAACUGAGACACGGUCCAGACUCCUACGGGAGGGAGCAGUAGGGAAUGUGCCGCAAUGGGCGAAAGCCUGACGGAGCAACGCCGCGUGAGUGAUGGAGGUCUUCGGAUCGUAAAGCUCUGUUAUGGGGGAAGAACAUAUGUGGAAGGAACUGUGGACAUCUUGACGGUACCUAAUCAGAAAGCCACGGCUAACUACGUG
rnacentral:rRNA from 1 species